AACUUCUGUCAUGCCCCAGUCGGGCGUGGAAAAAUACCACCAGGAGGGUUCAGCUCCAGAGCAAGUGUUCUCAGCUGAUCACCAAAGCAGAUGAUCACCCAAAACACAGGAAACCACCACGGGCUGUCAUCGCUACAGGACAGCAAGCCAACUGGCUGCACAGAACCCAUGACGGCUGUGGUACCACAUGACUCUCGCCACAGUGUGUAUUGUUGAAUCCUCUCGGACUGUUGGUUAUCUGAUUUACGUUCCUGAGAGACUGGUGCUAGGAGAUCUGGCAUCGCUUCCCAUUCAAAGAGCUGCCCCACUGAAGCAGCAUACAUCGGGGAGGGUGCGACUUUGCUGAUACCCUGGAGUUGGGGACUCCCCUCCGGGUCCGCAGAAAGCCUUCCCCCAGCUGCAAGGAGAUGGGCUCUGCGCGCACCUGAUUUCUUCUCCCUUGAGAAGGUUUCCUGACAGCUUCUUAGCAAUCACAGACCUUUCUGACUCUUUCUAAAUCAACACUGUAAAGACACUUUCUCCAGAAAUAAGGUUGAGUUCAGAAGGGCUAGAGACAUGUGGGAAGGUUAUGUGAAUCCUAAAGCCGAAUGCUUUUCCCAUUUUAGAAGGCUACUUUCUCAUUUUAUGGUUACUGCUUCCCUGUUAGUUCCUCUUAAAAACAAUUAUUUUUUUUCUUUUUUAAAUAGUGUUCCCUCUGGAAAAUCUUAGAAUGAGGUGGGGGUAAGACUCUAUGACCACCUGGUUAGGGUUGAAUCACACCUGAUGUACAAUUAUACACUCUGCCCCACCCCUGAGGGGCUGGGACAUGAAACAGAGACUGCCCAUUUACUUGACUUGCUGUGCAAACAUGGGCAGCAGUAUCUUUCCAGGCCCUGGUUUCUCACUUGAAAGUAGGGAAGAAUGAGAGUAUUUACCUGAUGAUAUUUAGGAAUGGCACAUACUAAGCAUUUUAUGAGUAUUUUUUAUUGUUGUUGUUAUAAUAACAAUUAUUAUUAGACUUAGUGAGCACCCUGAAUAGGAACAUUAGGUCUAAUUCUCCAGGGUGUAGUCCCCAGAACAUAAUAGGUGCUCAAUAAAUAUUGAGUGGGAGGUUGAAUGACUGAAUAAAUGGAAAACUAUUUAAAUGAGGAAGCAGCAGUAGUAGAAUAAGAAUUCAACCCAUGGUCCCACUGAGUGUAGGUUGGGACCUUCCUAGAUCUUUCUGGAUAGAUAUUCACUGAUGUUUGUAUGUCCAGUGCAAAAGGAAUAUGUGUAAAUAGAAACAGGGGACAAUGGUGAGACUCCAUGUUUUUGUUUAAAUGUUUAUGUAUUUAUUUCUUUGAUGGGGGAUGGGGAGGAAGAGGGAGAGAGAGAAUCUCAAGCAGACUCUGUGCUGAUCAGAGAGAACACAGGGCUUGAUCUCAACACCCCAAGAUCAUGACCUGAGCCAAAACCAAGAGUUGGGCCCUUAAUCAACUGAGCCACCCAGACACCUUGUGAGACUCCAUGUUUUAUAUCUGUUGAUGUAGGUAUUGUAAACAUGUAUUGAUUUGUACAUCUGAUGCAGAAAAAGCCGUGAUGUCUGCCAGCCGCAGAGAGACAUGGCAGCUACUGGAGAGUCUGGAGACAUAUCGGAGAUCCCAGGAACCCUGACGGGGAUUUUGGAAGCCACAGCUACUGAGAGCUACAGGUGCUAUAAUGGAAGCUACUGCUACUGGUCAUGUUGCCACCAGAAAAUCUGCCUCAGAAAGAAGUUGAAAACCACUGAGGACCAGGGAAGAAACUGCUGAGGUAUACUUUCACUGGGAAAGCCUUGCCAAGAGCCACCAUGGACCCCACCAUCAGGAGCCACAUACCCGGUGACAGGUAGAUAGAACUCCCGCAUAAGAAAAGGAGGAGGCAAGUAAUGCCAUACAGUAAUGAUGCUUGGAUGCGGGCUGCCAGGGCCUCGGAGGGCCAAAGGCUGAGCUUUUCAAAGAAAGAGAGUCUGAAGAUGUGAACAGUGUGUGCCAAGAUCACGCUAAGUGAGUUUUGCUGCCCCCCCGACCCCGAAGUCGGUGGUGUGUGAGCUCUGCAAACACAAUCAGCUCCCAUUUGCCUGGAACCAGGCUGGUAUUUUUGUGCUCCUCUGCAGACGGGGACGAAUGGUACUACUGCAUCUGGCUAAUGGAUCCAAAAACCAACAGUGUAACAUCAAGUACUUCACGUGCGAAGAUGAUGCAAAGUACUGUCCGAAAGUACAAAGGUACUAAGCAAGCUCCCCGCCCUCGAAGAGCUAACCAGAUUGUUGACGAAACAGACCUACUAAAAAUAAAAGAUGGAAUUAAACAAUCCCAUCAGAUAGGUGUUAAGGACUGGUAUCCACUAAAAGGACAGAAGGAUUUACAGGAAGGAAAACCCAAUGGGGUGCUUGGAGGGUUUUGUAGCAAGCUGGGGUUUUGGCCAGAGCUUGCAGACUGGGUUGAGUCUGGGUCAGUGGAGAGGAAGAAGAAGAGCAGGGGUGUGUGGGAGCCAGCUCACACGGUCUCGUGAGAGCUGCUGGUUACCUUUUUUAGGAAUACCGUCAGACAGCCAUUAAAUGCAACCAUGACUAAAAAUUAAAUUAUAAAAAUCUUAAAAUUAAAUAAAUUAUACCUUAUAAAUGUAUAUUUAUAUUAUUUAGUACUAUAAUGGAUAAUAUAGUAUCAAUACAUAAUUGAACAUUAUCUAAAUAAACACUCAGAACUCACUGCUUCCUCAUUACUUUACUGCAUUUUACUGUAAUUUAUGCUGCUCAGGAUAUUAACAUCUAUGGUAUCUAUAUGGUGGAUAUGCUAUGUAAUCAUACACAGCAUUACUAUAUACUAUAUACAUAAUAUAUAUAUUUUAAUAUAAUAUAAUGUAGCUACUGCAUAGCUCUUCCAAAUUUCUUUCAUGCUGGGAGCAUUUACAUAGCAGAAAUCUGCAAAUGCUAAGAAUCAGGGUUUGAUUUAUUGCUUUGUUGGUUGUUUAGACUAAGAAAGUAAUGGAAAAAUCUUAAUAACACAGAUUCAACUUUUAAAGAUACCAUGUUGUGGGGGCGGUGGUGCCUGGCUGGCUCAGUCAGAAGAGCAAGAGACUCUAGAUCUUGGGGUUGUGAGUUUGAGCCCCACCUUGGGUGUAGAGAUUACUUAAAAAUAAAUCUUAAAAACAAAAAAUUAUGUCGGUAUUUGUUGCAUCGUGAAUGACACCAAAGACUUGAAGAAAUCUUCCAGCAUUUGAAAAUUGUUAUGUGAUUCAGCAAAGUCCCUCACACCAUUGAUGAUCAAAACAUUCUAAAAUACCUAUUUAUGGGGGCACCUGGGUGGCUCAGUGGGUUAAGCCGCUGCCUUCAGCUCAGGUCAUGAUUCCAGGGUCCUGGGAUCGAGCCCCACAUCGGGCUUUCUGCUCAGCAGGGAGCCUGCUUUCCUUCCUCUCUCUGGCAGCCUCUCUGCCUACUUGUGAUCUCUGUCUGCCAAAUAAAUAAAUAAAAUCUUUUUUUAAAAAUACCUUUUAUGUAAAAAAAAAUAUGUCAACCAAUACAGCAGAACUGCAGUGAGAAAGCCAGUUAUGAAACAUUUACACACCACUGGAGGAAGGCCACAUCAUAAAGAAGUAACAGCAUGUAUAAAACAGCAGAAGCUGAAACAUUCAUAGCAAACGGGAUAGAUAAUGUGGUGUGAUAGGAAUAAUGUGAGCUAUAGUCCCGGGUUCAAAUCCCAGUUCUGCUGUUUAUUAACUAGGUGAAUUUAGAGGGGCUGCAAAACAUGAAUGAGCCUAAGUGUUGUCACAAGUAAGAUGAUAAAGCCAACCAUAUCAUGCUGUUACAAGAAUUCGGAAGAAUAUAGUUUUAAAUGCCUCAGAUAGUGCCUGGGGGUGCCUGGCUGUCUCCGUCAGCUGAGCGUCUGUCUGGCUCAGGUCAUGAUUCCAAGCGUCCUGGGAUCAAGCCUCUCAAUGGGAUCCUGCUCAGCAGCAAGUAUGCCUUCUCCCUCUCCUUCUGCCCCACCCUCGCUUGUGUGUGUGCUCUCUUUGUCUCUCUCUCAAAUAAAUAAAUAAAACCUUCACGCCAGUCAGAAUGGCCAAAAUUAACUAGUCAGGAAACGAUGGGUGUUGGUGAGGAUGCGGAAAAAGGGGAACCCUCCUACACUGUCGGUGGGAAUGCAAGCUGGUGCAGCCACUCUGGAAAACAGCAUGGAGGUUCCUCAAAAGUUGAAAAUAGAGCUACCCUACAACCCAGCAAUCGCACUACUGCACAUUUACCCUAAAGAUACAAAUGUAGUGAUCCGAAGGGGCACGUGUGCCUGAAUGUUUAUAGCAGCAAUGUCCACAAUAGCCAAACUAUGGAGAGAACCUAGAUGUCCAUCAACAGAUGAAUAAAUAAAGAAGAUGUGGUACAGAUAUACAAUGGACUACUAUGCAGCCAUCAAAAGAAAUGAAUUCUUGUCAUUUGCAAUGAUGUGGAUGGAACUAGAGGAUAUUACGCUGAGCAAAAUAAGUCAAUCAGAGGAAGACAAUUAUCAUAUGAUCUCUCUGAUAUGAGGAAUUUGA